rnacentral:rRNA from 1 species
CCAGACUCCUACGGGAGGCAGCAGUGGGGAAUAUUGCACGAUGGGGGGAACCCUGAUGCAGCGACGCCGCGUGAGUGAAGAAGUAUCUCGGUACGUAAAGCUCUAUCAGCAGGGAAGAAAAUGACGGUACCUGACUAAGAAGCCCCGGCUAACUACGUGCCAACAGCCGCGGUAAUACGUAGGGGGCAAGCGUUAUCCGGAUUUACUGGGUGUAAAGGGAGCGUAGACGGCAGUGCAAGUCCGGAGUGAAAGCCCGGGGCCCAACCCCGGGACUGCCCUUGGAACUGCAUGGCUGGAGUGCGGGAGGGGCAGGCGGAAUUCCUGGUGUAGCGGUGAAAUGCGUAGAUAUCAGGAGGAACACCGGUGGCGAAGGCGGCCUGCUGGACUGCAACUGACGUUGAGGCCCGAAAGCGUGGGGAGCAAACAGGAUUAGAUACCCCCGUACAA